CUUGGGUCUGACAAAGAAAGCAGGGCAACUUGCACCGGAAGAUCGGUCCGCGUUCCAUCAGCUUGUUGGUGAGGUAACGGCUCACCAAGGCGACGACGGAUAGCUGGUCUGAGAGGAUGAUCAGCCACACUGGGACUGAGACACGGCCCAGACUCCUACGGGAGGCAGCAGUGGGGAAUAUUGGACAAUGGGCGCAAGCCUGAUCCAGCAAUGCCGUGUGUGUGAUGAAGGCCCUAGGGUUGUAAAGCACUGUCAGUGGGGACGAAUUGCUUCGGGUAACGCCGAAGAGUGACGGUACCCACAGAGGAAGGACCGGCUAACUCCGUGCCAGCAGCCGCGGUAAUACGGAGGGUCCAAGCGUUGUUCGGAAUCACUGGGCGUAAAGCGCGUGUAGGCGGUUUCGUCAGUCGGAUGUGAAAUCCCGGGGCUCAACCCCGGACGUGCAUCCGAUACUGCGAAACUAGAAUCCCGGAGGGGGUGGCGGAAUUCCUGGUGUAGAGGUGAAAUUCGUAGAUAUCAGGAGGAACACCCGUGGCGAAGGCGGCCACCUGGACGGGCAUCGACGCUGAGACGCGAAAGCGUGGGUAGCAAACAGGAUUAGAUACCCUGGUAGUCCACGCCGUAAACGAUGAGUGCUAGUUGUUGCGGGUAUUGACCCCUGCAGUGACGAAGUUAACACAUUAAGCACUCCGCCUGGGGAGUACGGUCGCAAGAUUAAAACUCAAAGGAAUUGACGGGGGCCCGCACAAGC
rnacentral:rRNA from 1 species